rnacentral:misc_RNA from 1 species
UAAAAGAUUUUGAAUUAAAACCUUGCAAAAUGAGAAACACCUCCCUAUGUAUUCGCAGGGGACAAAAUUAAGGGCAUAACAAGGACUUUGGCUUUACUAGUGUCAGAAUACCAAUAGAAAGUUGAAAUGUUAAACCAAUAUGUCAAUGAUGAGAGUGUCACAUCAGUGUAAUUUGAUCUAUAAGACAUCUAUAGAGAUGCAUAUGGCUGAUGCGAUGAGUUUUUCCCAAAAUAUUUAAGGGUAUAAUAUGUAUUUAGCCAACAACAAUCACAUAGCAAGUGCAUAAUGAAGAGAAUAUUUCCUGUGUAUUUUCUUGAAUGAGAUA